AUACGGAGGAUCCGAGCGUUAUCCGGAUUUAUUGGGUUUAAAGGGUGCGCAGGCGGCCGUGCAAGUCAGCGGUGAAAGCCCGGGGCUCAACCCCGGAAGUGCCGUUGAUACUGCGUGGCUGGAAUGCGGUCGAGGCGGGCGGAACGUGGCGGGUAGCGGGGAAAUGCGUAGAUAUGCCACAGAACGCCGAUAGCGGAGGCAGCUCGCCAGGCCUGCAUUGACGCUCGGGCACGAAAGCGUGGGGAUCGAACAGGAUUAGAUACCCUGGUAGUCCACGCCGUAAACGAUGGGCGCUCGUCGUCGGCGGCAGACAGUCGGCGGCCAAGCGAAAGCGAUAAGCGCCCCACCUGGGGAGUACGGUCGCAAGGCUGAAACUCAAAUGAAUUGGCGGGG
rnacentral:rRNA from 1 species